rnacentral:SRP_RNA from 1 species
GCUGGGUGUGGUGGCGGGCACCUGUAAUCCCAGCUACUCGGGAGGCUGAGGCAUGAGACUGGUUUGAACCUUGGAGGCGGAGGUUGCAGUGAGCUGAGAUUGCGCCACUGCACUCCAGCCUGGGUGACCGAGCGAGACUCCGUCUCGAAAAAAGGAAAACAAACAAAAAAAACGCUCUGUUGCCCAGGUUGGAGUGCAGUGGCGCGAUCUCGGCUCACUGCAACCUCCGCCUCCGGAGUUCAAGCGAUUCUCCUGUCUCAG